GACGAACGCUGGCGGCGUGCUUAACACAUGCAAGUCGAGCGGUAAGGCCCUUCGGGGUACACGAGCGGCGAACGGGUGAGUAACACGUGGGUGAUCUGCCUCGCACUCUGGGAUAAGCCUGGGAAACUGGGUCUAAUACCGGAUAUGACCUUACAUCGCAUGGUGUUUGGUGGAAAGAUUUAUCGGUGCGAGAUGGGCCCGCGGCCUAUCAGCUUGUUGGUGGGGUAAUGGCCUACCAAGGCGACGACGGGUAGCCGGCCUGAGAGGGCGACCGGCCACACUGGGACUGAGACACGGCCCAGACUCCUACGGGAGGCAGCAGUGGGGAAUAUUGCACAAUGGGCGAAAGCCUGAUGCAGCGACGCCGCGUGAGGGAUGACGGCCUUCGGGUUGUAAACCUCUUUCGACAGGGACGAAGCGCAAGUGACGGUACCUGUAGAAGAAGCACCGGCCAACUACGUG
rnacentral:rRNA from 2 species